UACAGAGGUCUCAAGCGUUGUUCGGAUUCAUUGGGCGUAAAGGGUGUGUAGGUGGCGCCGUAAGUCGGGUGUGAAAUUUCGGAGCUUAACUCCGAAACUGCAUUCGAUACUGCGGUGCUUGAGGACUGGAGAGGAGACUGGAAUUCAUGGUGUAGCAGUGAAAUGCGUAGAGAUCAUGAGGAAGACCAGUGGCGAAGGCGGCUCCCUGGUCCGUUUCUGACGCUGAGACGCGAAAGCGCGGGGAGCGAACGGG
rnacentral:rRNA from 1 species